rnacentral:tRNA from 1 species
GUCUAAUGGUGUAGUGGUUAGUGAACCUGCCUGCUAUGCCGAAGGUCCCGGGUUCGAUUCUCGGCUUCGGCA